GUGAUCUGUCAGUUCGCGGAGAGGGAAGAAUAUGGCCGCCGGGUGUGGUGAGGGCGACGCGCUUGCAGUCGCUGUCUCUUACUUCCCCGUCCUCUGACAUCGCCUGCAGCCGAGCGGGCCCGUUCCGCCGGAGCUGAGGACCAGGUAUUCAAAUAAAGUUAAUUGCAGCUUUCUGUGAAAAUGUCAGUUUUGAUAUCACAGAGCGUAAUAAAUUAUGUAGAGGAAGAAAACAUUCCUGCUCUGAAAGCUCUUCUUGAAAAAUGCAAAGAUGUAGAUGAGAGAAAUGAGUGUGGCCAGACUCCACUGAUGAUAGCUGCCGAACAAGGCAAUCUGGAAAUAGUGAAGGAAUUAAUUAAGAAUGGAGCUAACUGCAAUCUGGAAGAUUUGGAUAAUUGGACAGCACUUAUAUCUGCAUCGAAAGAAGGGCAUGUGCACAUCGUAGAGGAACUACUGAAAUGUGGGGUUAACUUGGAGCACCGUGAUAUGGGAGGAUGGACAGCUCUUAUGUGGGCAUGUUACAAAGGCCGUACUGACGUAGUAGAGUUGCUUCUUUCUCAUGGUGCCAAUCCAAGUGUCACUGGUCUGCAGUAUAGUGUUUACCCAAUCAUUUGGGCAGCAGGGAGAGGCCAUGCAGAUAUAGUUCAUCUUUUACUGCAAAAUGGUGCUAAAGUCAACUGCUCUGAUAAGUAUGGAACCACCCCUUUAGUUUGGGCUGCACGAAAGGGUCAUUUGGAAUGUGUGAAACAUUUAUUGGCCAUGGGAGCUGAUGUGGAUCAAGAAGGAGCUAAUUCAAUGACUGCACUUAUUGUGGCAGUGAAAGGAGGUUACACACAGUCAGUAAAAGAAAUUUUGAAGAGGAAUCCAAAUGUAAACUUAACAGAUAAAGAUGGAAAUACAGCUUUGAUGAUUGCAUCAAAGGAGGGACAUACGGAGAUUGUGCAGGAUCUGCUCGACGCUGGAACAUAUGUGAACAUACCUGACAGGAGUGGGGAUACUGUGUUGAUUGGCGCUGUCAGAGGUGGUCAUGUUGAAAUUGUUCGAGCGCUUCUCCAAAAAUAUGCUGAUAUAGACAUUAGAGGACAGGAUAAUAAAACUGCUUUGUAUUGGGCUGUUGAGAAAGGAAAUGCAACAAUGGUGAGAGAUAUCUUACAGUGCAAUCCUGACACUGAAAUAUGCACAAAGGAUGGUGAAACGCCACUUAUAAAGGCUACCAAGAUGAGAAACAUUGAAGUGGUGGAGCUGCUGCUAGAUAAAGGUGCUAAAGUGUCUGCUGUAGAUAAGAAAGGAGAUACUCCCUUGCAUAUUGCUAUUCGUGGAAGGAGCCGGAAACUGGCAGAACUGCUUUUAAGAAAUCCCAAAGAUGGGCGAUUACUUUAUAGGCCCAACAAAGCAGGCGAGACUCCUUAUAAUAUUGACUGUAGCCAUCAGAAGAGUAUUUUAACUCAAAUAUUUGGAGCCAGACACUUGUCUCCUACUGAAACAGAUGGCGACAUGCUUGGAUAUGAUUUAUAUAGCAGUGCCCUGGCAGAUAUUCUCAGUGAGCCUACCAUGCAGCCACCCAUUUGUGUGGGGUUAUAUGCACAGUGGGGAAGUGGGAAAUCUUUCUUACUCAAGAAACUAGAAGACGAAAUGAAAACCUUCGCCGGACAACAGAUUGAGCCUCUCUUUCAGUUCUCAUGGCUCAUAGUGUUUCUUACCCUGCUACUUUGUGGAGGGCUUGGUUUAUUGUUUGCCUUCACGGUCCACCCAAAUCUUGGAAUAGCAGUGUCACUGAGCUUCUUGGCUCUCUUAUAUAUAUUCUUUAUUGUCAUUUACUUUGGUGGACGAAGAGAAGGAGAGAGUUGGAAUUGGGCCUGGGUCCUCAGCACUAGAUUGGCAAGACAUAUUGGAUAUUUGGAACUCCUCCUUAAAUUGAUGUUUGUGAAUCCACCUGAGUUGCCAGAGCAGACUACUAAAGCUUUACCUGUGAGGUUUUUGUUUACAGAUUACAAUAGACUGUCCAGUGUAGGUGGAGAAACUUCUCUGGCUGAAAUGAUUGCAACCCUCUCGGAUGCUUGUGAAAGAGAGUUUGGCUUUUUGGCAACCAGGCUUUUUCGAGUAUUCAAGACUGAAGAUACUCAGGGUAAAAAGAAAUGGAAAAAAACAUGUUGUCUCCCAUCUUUUGUCAUCUUCCUUUUUAUCAUUGGCUGCAUUAUAUCUGGAAUUACUCUUCUGGCUAUAUUUAGAGUUGACCCAAAGCAUCUGACUGUAAAUGCUGUCCUCAUAUCAAUCGCAUCUGUAGUGGGAUUGGCCUUUGUGUUGAACUGUCGUACAUGGUGGCAAGUGCUGGACUCGCUCCUGAAUUCCCAAAGAAAACGCCUCCAUAAUGCAGCCUCCAAACUGCACAAAUUGAAAAGUGAAGGAUUCAUGAAAGUUCUUAAAUGUGAAGUGGAAUUGAUGGCCAGGAUGGCAAAAACCAUUGACAGCUUCACUCAGAAUCAGACAAGGCUGGUGGUCAUCAUCGAUGGAUUAGAUGCCUGUGAGCAGGACAAAGUCCUUCAGAUGCUGGACACUGUCCGAGUUCUGUUUUCAAAAGGCCCGUUCAUUGCCAUUUUUGCAAGUGAUCCACAUAUUAUCAUAAAGGCAAUUAACCAGAACCUCAAUAGUGUGCUUCGGGAUUCAAAUAUAAAUGGCCAUGACUACAUGCGCAACAUAGUCCAUUUGCCUGUGUUCCUUAAUAGUCGUGGACUAAGCAAUGCAAGAAAAUUUCUCGUAACUUCAGCAACAAAUGGAGACGUUCCAUGCUCAGAUACUACAGGGAUACAGGAAGAUGCUGACAGAAGAGUUUCACAGAACAGCCUUGGGGAGAUGACAAAACUUGGUAGCAAGACAGCCCUCAAUAGACGGGACACUUACCGAAGAAGGCAGAUGCAGAGGACCAUCACUCGCCAGAUGUCCUUUGACCUUACAAAACUGCUGGUUACCGAGGACUGGUUCAGUGACAUCAGUCCCCAGACCAUGAGAAGAUUACUUAAUAUUGUUUCUGUGACAGGACGAUUACUGAGAGCCAAUCAGAUUAGUUUCAACUGGGACAGGCUUGCUAGCUGGAUCAACCUUACUGAGCAGUGGCCAUACCGGACUUCAUGGCUCAUAUUAUAUUUGGAAGAGACUGAAGGUAUUCCAGAUCAAAUGACAUUAAAAACCAUCUACGAAAGAAUAUCAAAGAAUAUUCCAACAACUAAGGAUGUUGAGCCACUUCUUGAAAUUGAUGGAGAUAUAAGAAAUUUUGAAGUGUUUUUGUCUUCAAGGACCCCAGUUCUUGUGGCUCGAGAUGUAAAAGUCUUUUUGCCAUGCACUGUAAACCUAGAUCCCAAACUACGGGAAAUUAUUGCAGAUGUUCGUGCUGCCAGAGAGCAGAUCAGUAUUGGAGGACUGGCGUACCCCCCGCUCCCUCUACAUGAGGUUCCUCCUAGGGCGCCAUCAGGGUACAGCCAGCCCCCAUCCGUGUGCUCUUCCACGUCCUUCAAUGGGCCCUUCACAGGUGGAGUGGUGUCACCACAGCCUCACAGCAGCUAUUACAGCGGCAUGACGGGCCCUCAGCAUCCCUUCUACAACAGGCCAUUCUUUGCCCCAUACCUUUACACGCCAAGGUAUUACCCUGGCGGCUCCCAACAUCUCAUCUCACGUCCAUCAGUAAAAACGAGUUUGCCCAGAGAUCAGAACAAUGGCCUAGAAGUUAUCAAGGAGGAUGCUGCUGAGGGGCUUUCUUCACCCACAGACUCCUCGAGGCCGUGUGACUCUGGGUUUAACAAACAGAGACAGGGGUCAGGCCCAGCCCCAGGCCCAGUGGUAUUACUGAAUUCACUGAAUGUGGAUGCAGUAUGUGAGAAGCUGAAACAAAUAGAAGGGCUGGACCAGAGUAUGCUGCCUCAGUAUUGUACCACGAUCAAAAAGGCAAACAUAAAUGGCCGUGUGUUAGCUCAGUGUAACAUUGAUGAACUGAAGAAAGAGAUGAAUAUGAAUUUUGGAGACUGGCACCUUUUUAGAAGCACAGUACUAGAAAUGAGAAACGCAGAAAGCCACGUGGUCCCUGAAGACCCACGUUUCCUCAGUGAGAGCAGCAGUGGCCCAGCCCCGCACGGUGAGCCUGCUCGCCGCGCUUCCCACAACGAGCUGCCUCACACCGAGCUCUCCAGCCAGACGCCCUACACACUCAACUUCAGCUUCGAAGAGCUGAACACGCUUGGCCUGGAUGAAGGUGCCCCUCGUCACAGUAAUCUAAGUUGGCAGACGCACGCCGACACUGGGCAGAAGGGAAGAAACCAGUGGGGAUACUGUUGUUUUGCGGGGGCAGCAUGAGCAGACCCAGGAAGAAAAUGCUGGCCUUGAGAUAGAUAGCUCUUCAGAGGAUCCAGAUUAAACUAAGGCAACAGGCGCUGUAGAUCUUAGUACCCUGCCCAUAGACCCAAGCACUUUUCUCAUUUCUUCUGACAGUUCGAGUCACUUCUCACAGUUGACUUCCUCACCAAAUAAUAAGGGGGUGAAGAAGACUCGGCCUACCUACUACUCAGUAAUCCUGCUGUCCAGUCGACUGGAGAAGAGAGAUUUGUUCACCUCUACUAGUUUUAUUUGUUCUUAGUAGUUGUAGAAUUUAAAUUGGUUUUAAUGAAAUGUUCCUUUUAUGAAAUUUUAAAUAAAAGCCAUUUAGUGUAUAUUUAGUAUAGCAAGAAGCAUGUGAAUAAGCUCCAUAUAACCUGACAUUGCGCAUCUUACAGCAUCCUCUUGGUCAGAUGUCUAAUAAAAAGAUUGUUAUUUUCAAAUUUAUCAUAGUUCCUGCAACUUGCACUUUUUAAAGCUGUGUUUGUGAGAGUUUAUAGACUGCAUAUUGCUAUACUUGAUGGAAAUUAAACUAUUUUUAUUUUGAAAGAAGUUAAUUUAUAUUUUAAGUUCUUUAUGUUUUUCUCCUUUUACCUGAGUUCUUUUCAGUCAUUUUGUGUUGUUAAGUUUUUUUUAGGUUGUCAUAUAUUUUUCUUUUUUAGGUUACCAUCCUAGUUUACUGUAAAACAUUUCUUAGAGCAAUAGAUUGGGAAAGAGCCUCGAGAUAUCUUUUAGACCAAAUCCUAGAUCUCAGAAAGCCAGUGGACAUUCAGUAAAUGCUUGUUGGCCAGGUGCCGUGGCUCACGCCUAUAAUCCCAGCACUUCAGGAGGCCAAGGUGGGAGGAUGGCUUGAGCCCAGAAGUUCAAGACCAGCCUGGGUAACAUAAUGGGAUUCCAUCUCUACAAAAAUAAAAAUAAAAAAAUUAGCCAGGAAUGGUGGUGUGCACCUGUAGUCCCAGCUAUUUGGGAGGCUGAGGUAGGAGGAUUCCCUGAGCCUGAGAGGUUGAGGAUGCAGUGAGUGGUGAUCACACCACUGCACUCCAGCCUGGGUUACAGGGUGAGGCCCUGUCUCAAAUAAAUAAAUAAUUAAAACUUGUUAAGUGAAUGAAUAAACUAGGGGGGCAACUCUGAGAGUGUCUGCCCACAAAUCCUACACAGUGCCUUCAAAUUACUGGGUGCAGUGGCUCACACCUGUAAUCCCAGCACUUUGGGAGUCUGAGAUGGGCAGAUCAUCUGAGGUCAGGAGUUCAAGACCAACCUAGCCAACAUGGUGAAACCCCGUCUCUACUAAAAUACAAAAAUUAGGCGGGCGUGGUGGCAGGUGUCUAUGGCCCCAGCUACUCAGGAGGCUGAGGCAAGAGAAGCACUUGAACGUGGGAGACGGAGGUUGCAGUGAGCCGAGAUCGCACCGCUGCACUCCAACCUGGGCGACAGAGUGAGACUCCGUCUCAAAAAAUAAAACAAAAUACUGAAUGUAAAUCCCUUAACAUUGUGCUGUUGUGCCACAGCUCCUUACAGGUCCCACCUUCCCUCUCACUUUCUGCCCACCCUGUUACCUGCCUGGCCCCUGUAAGCUUUUCUGCUGUGCUUUUGGAAAUCUUUCAACCACAAUAGCAUGCUUUGUUGCAAACUCUUAGGGACCUAAGCCAGGCAUGGUGGCAUGCACUUGUAAUCCCAGCUACUUGGGGAGGCUGAGGCGGGAGGAUCACUUGAGCCCAGGAGUUCAAGACCAGCCUGGGCAACAUAGCGAGAACAUGUCUCAAAAAUAAAAAGGAAAAAAAUGGGGGAAAAAACCCUCCCAGGGACAGAUAUCCACAGCCAGUCUUGAUAAGCUCCAUCAUUUUAAAGUGCAAGGCGGUGCCUCCCAUGUGGAUGAUUAUUUAAUCCUCUUGUACUUUGUUUAGUCCUUUGUGGAAAUGCCCAUCUUAUAAAUUAAUAGAAUUCUAGAAUCUAAUUAAAAUGGUUCAACUCUACAUUUUACUUUAGGAUAAUAUCAGGACCAUCACAGAAUGUCUGAGAUGUGGAUUUACCCUAUCUGUAGCUCAGUUCUUCAACCAUUCUUUUAGCAAGGCUAGUUAUCUUCAGUGACAACCCCUUGCUGCCCUCUACUAUCUCCUCCCUCAGAUGGACUACUCUGAUUAAGCUUGAGCUAGAAUAAGCAUGUUAUCCUGGGAUUCCAUAUGGAAUAUUUUAUACAUGAGUGAGCCAUUAUGAGUUGUUUGAAAAUUUAUUAUGUUGAGGGAGGGUAACCGCUGUAACAACCAUCACCAAAUCUAAUCGACUGAAUACAUUUGACGUUUAUUUCUUGUUCACCUGACAGUUCAGUGUUACCUAAAUUUACAUGAAGACCCAGAGGCCCAUGCUCCUUCAUUUUGGGCUCCACCGACCUCCAAGGUUUCAGGGCCCUCUGCCCCGCCUUCUGCACCCACAGGGGAAGAGAGUGGAGGAUGCACACGCCCAGGCCUGGAAGCGACGCAUGUGGCUUCCCCGUCCACAGACUUCACCCACAGUCCAUUGGCCUUCUUAAGUCAUGGACUCCUGCUGAGCUGCCAGGGUGCGUGGGAAAUCCAUGUGACUGUGUGCCCUGGAGGAAGGGGAGCGUUUCGGUGAGCACACAGGAGUCUUUGCCACUAGACGCUGAUGAGGAUUCCCCACAGGCGAUGAAGCAUGGAGACUCAUCUUGUAACAAACAGAUGAGUUGUUGACAUCUCUUAAGUUUAUUUUGUGUGCAGUUUUUAUUCAGAUAGGAAAGGCUGUUAAAAUCUUAACACCUAACUGGAAGAAGGGUUUUAGAGAAGGGUGGUUUUCAGUAAGCCAGUUCUUUCCACAAUCCAAGAAACGAAAUAAAUUUCCAGCGUGGAGCAGUUUGCAGGUAAGGUUUUUGUUGUGGUCUCGCCCAGGCUUGAGUGUAACCGGUGUGGUCAUAGCUCACUACAUUCUCAAACUCCUGGCCUUAAGUCAUCCUCCUGCCUCAGCCUCCCAAAGGCAAGUAAGGUUAAGAAUAGGGGAAAGGUGAAGUUUCACAGCUUUUCUAGAAUUCUUUUUGUUCAAGGGACUCUCAGAUCAUCAAACCCACCCAGAAUCUGCUCAAUUUUCAAGAUUUGCUUAUAAAUAUUUAUAAUAUAAACACUCAAUUGCUAUCUGUUUUUUAGGUUCUCCUCUCUCUCCCAGAACAGUGGUAACAGGAACUCUUGGGGGCUUCUCCCUGUUCUUGCAGAUGUGGCAGGAUGUGUUUCUGGGGGGCUCCCAUGCCAGUCCACACCCUCUGUGGUGUAAGCAGGGAUUGGUAAUUAAUGAGAUGCUAAACCCUCCAGAAGUGAGCGCUCAUGUCCCAGAAACACAUCUUCCACCUCAGCAGCCAGUGGGAAAACUAGACUUUGUGUCUGCAUAUUUGUUCUUAAACACACUCUUCUGCAGUCUAACUCUGCUGACCACUUUCCAGUUUGCUCAUAUCAGAAUUUCUUUGGUUCUAAGAUGCAUAUUUUCUUUUUGUAUUCUGACUUGUUAGAAAUUAGAAUAUGUCUUGCAGCCAAUAAAAUCUAUGACAACAUUUUUUUUUUCUUAAUGGUUCCUAAAACUGUAGUUGAUGGUGUCUUGCUUAGGUUUAACGAAAGAUAUUUUAAUAUAUGGCAUGGUUAUGUGGAGUUGUAUCUCUAUCAGUAUUAAUGGGCUGGGGAUGAUUUAUAUUCAACUGAACCCCCAAAUUCAACAUUUUGUGUUGAAUAUUUAUUUUAUCAGUUAUUCUUUAUCCUGUACUCAUUUUGGAUACUUACUAAAGUAUUGUAUGUAUUUGUUAUAAUAAAAUGGCUUACCGUGUUUGAA